UACGUAGGGGGCAAGCGUUGUCCGGAAUCAUUGGGCGUAAAGAGCGUGUAGGCGGCCAGAUAAGUCCGCUGUGAAAACUCGAGGCUCAACUUCGAGCUGUCGGUGGAAACUAUUUGGCUAGAGUCCGGAAGAGGAGAGUGGAAUUCCUGGUGUAGCGGUGAAAUGCGCAGAUAUCAGGAAGAACACCCGUGGCGAAGGCGGCUCUCUGGUACGGAACUGACGCUGAGACGCGAAAACGUGGGGAGCGAACAGG
rnacentral:rRNA from 1 species